rnacentral:rRNA from 1 species
GGAUGCGAUCAUACCAGCACUAAAGCACCGGAUCCCAUCAGAACUCCGAAGUUAAGCGUGCUUGGGUGAGAGUAGUACUAGGAUGGGUGACCUCCUCGGAAGUCCUCGUGUUGUAUUCC